rnacentral:rRNA from 1 species
UACGUAGGGGGGCAAGCGUUGUCCGGAUUUAUUGGGCGUAAAGAGCGUGUAGGCGGCCAGGUAGGUCCGUUGUGAAAACUCGAGGCUCAACCUCGAGCUGUCGAUGGAAACCAUCUGGCUAGAGUCCGGAAGAGGAGAGUGGAAUUCCCGGUGUAGCGGUGAAAUGCGCAGAUAUCGGGAAGAACACCCGUGGCGAAGGCGGCUCUCUGGGACGGUACUGACGCUGAGACGCGAAAGCGUGGGGAGCGAACAGG